UGGCUCAGACGGUAGAGCAUUUGACUCUUAAUCUAGGGGUUGUGAGUUCAAGCCCCAC
rnacentral:tRNA from 1 species